GGGCGAUUAGCUCAGUUGGUUAGAGCGCUACGGUGACAUCGUAGAGGUCGAGAGUUCGAAUCCCUCAUCGCCCACAA
rnacentral:tRNA from 2 species